rnacentral:lncRNA from 1 species
ACCCCAGUGUCAUUUCAGUGUGACUCAAGGUGUUAAAGAGGACUGUCCCACCUGAGGGUGAGAUUUUUUUACUGAGGAUACCUGGGAGUACCUUCUGUAGCCCAUGACUGAUCAUCCUGCCCCCACACUGAGCCUGCACAGGCUCCCAUCAGCUACGAGGCAACUGUCAGGUACCAGCUCCCUCCAUUUGGGCUGGACCAGCUUAACUCAGUGACCCAGGCUGUAGCUCCAGGGACAUGAGUGGGGCUGGGGACCUGUAAGGAUGUUUCCACAGCAAGGAACCAUGGGGGCUGCCAGCUCCUCCAGCUGGAGGACUCGAUAUUGAUGGCUAUCACCCCCGCACGGCUGAAGUGCCCACAGCCCCACCAUCCAAGGCCUGGUGAAAACACCCCGACCUUUCCUUAUCAGCAAGCUCUCGGUGACAUCAAGGCAGCUUGGCUGAAGUUCAGCUCUUUACUCCAGCAUUCAUCUGUGCUGUUGUGCUGUUCUCAUCUUAUCUGUAAAGGUGUUAAACAGAUUUGCUAUCUCCCUUUGUGGUUUUGACACUUGUACAACAGGUAUGUUUUUCCUGUGUUUAGGUUUUCCCCGGAGCUAUUAUCUCCAAAUACAGCUCAGGAAGCUAAUGAUGC